rnacentral:rRNA from 1 species
UCGAGCGAUCUUCUUCGGAAGAGAGCGGCGGACGGGUGAGUAACGCGUGGGUAACCUGCCCUGUACACACGGAUAACAUACCGAAAGGUAUGCUAAUACGGGAUAACAUAAGAAAGUCGCAUGGCUUUCUUAUCAAAGCUUUUGCGGUACAGGAUGGACCCGCGUCUGAUUAGCUAGUUGGUAAGGUAACGGCUUACCAAGGCGACGAUCAGUAGCCGACCUGAGAGGGUGAUCGGCCACAUUGGAACUGAGACACGGUCCAAACUCCUACGGGAGGCAGCAGUGGGGAAUAUUGCACAAUGGGCGAAAGCCUGAUGCAGCAACGCCGCGUGAGCGAUGAAGGCCUUCGGGUCGUAAAGCUCUGUCCUCAAGGAAGAUAAUGACGGUACUUGAGGAGGAAGCCCCGGCUAACUACGUGCCAGCAGCCGCGGUAAUACGUGGGGGGCUAGCGUUAUCCGGAAUUACUGGGCGUAAAGGGUGCGUAGGCGGUCUUUCAAGUCAGAAGUGAAAGGCUACGGCUCAACCGUAGUAAGCUUUUGAAACUGUAAGACUUGAGUGCAGGAGAGGAGAGUGGAAUUCCUAGUGUAGCGGUGAAAUGCGUAGAUAUUAGGAGGAACACCAGUUGCGAAGGCGGCUCUCUGGACUGUAACUGACGCUGAGGCACGAAAGCGUGGGGAGCAAACAGG